rnacentral:rRNA from 1 species
UAGGGAAUCUUCCGCAAUGGGCGAAAGCCUGACGGAGCAACGCCGCGUGAGUGAUGAAGGUCUUCGGAUCGUAAAACUCUGUUAUUAGGGAAGAACAAAUGUGUAAGUAACUAUGCACGUCUUGACGGUACCUAAUCAGAAAGCCACGGCUAACUACGUGCCAGCAGCCGCGGUAAUACGUAGGUGGCAAGCGUUAUCCGGCAUUAUUGGGCGUAAAGCGCGCGUAGGCGGUUUUUUAAGUCUGAUGUGAAAGCCCACGGCUCAACCGUGGAGGGUCGUUGGAAACAGGGAAACUUGAGUGCAGGAGAGGAAGGGGGAAUUCCAUGUGUAGCGGUGGGAUGCGCGGGGAUAAGGAGGAACACCAGUGGCGAAGGCGACUUUCUGGUCUGUAACUGACGCUGAUGAGCGAAAGCGUGGGGAUCAAACAGG